AACAGAUCUAAUAGAGUUUUCACUCUAUUAUAAUUUAAUAUGUAGUCGGCGAGCUCUGCUAUCUCACGAUCCGUUU
rnacentral:tRNA from 1 species